rnacentral:rRNA from 1 species
UACGUAGGGGGGCUAGCGUUGUCCGGAAUCAUUGGGCGUAAAGCGCGUGUAGGCGGCCCGGUAAGUCCGCUGUGAAAGUCGGGGGGCUCAACCCUCGAAUGCCGGUGGAUACUGUCGGGCUAGAGUACGGAAGAGGCGAGUGGAAUUCCUGGUGUAGCGGUGAAAUGCGCAGAUAUCAGGAGGAACACCAAUUGCGAAGGCAGCUCGCUGGGACGUCACUGACGCUGAGACGCGAAAGCGUGGGGAGCAAACAGG